GAUGAACGCUAGCUACAGGCUUAACACAUGCAAGUCGAGGGGAAACGACAUCGAAAGCUUGCUUUUGAUGGGCGUCGACCGGCGCACGGGUGAGUAACGCGUAUCCAACCUGCCCACCACUUGGGGAUAACCUUGCGAAAGUAAGACUAAUACCCAAUGAUAUCCCACGAAGACAUCUGAAUGGGAUUAAAGAUUUAUCGGUGAUGGAUGGGGAUGCGUCUGAUUAGCUUGUUGGCGGGGUAACGGCCCACCAAGGCAACGAUCAGUAGGGGUUCUGAGAGGAAGGUCCCCCACAUUGGAACUGAGACACGGUCCAAACUCCUACGGGAGGCAGCAGUGAGGAAUAUUGGUCAAUGGGCGAGAGCCUGGACCAGCCAAGUAGCGUGCAGGAAGACGGCCCUAUGGGUUGUAAACUGCUUUUAUAAGGGAAUAAAGUGGGUCACGUGUGACUUUUUGCAUGUACCUUAUGAAUAAGGACCGGCUAAUUCCGU
rnacentral:rRNA from 1 species